rnacentral:rRNA from 1 species
GACGGGGCCCGCACAAGCGGUGGAGCAUGUGGUUUAAUUCGACGCAACGCGAAGGACCUUACCUGGGCUUGACAUCCCGAUCGUACCUGCUGGAAACAGCGGGGUCAGUUCGGCUGGAUCGGAGACAGGUGCUGCAUGGCUGUCGUCAGCUCGUGUCGUGAGAUGUUGGGUUAAGUCCCGCAACGAGCGCAACCCUUGUCCUUAGUUGCCAUCAUUUAGUUGGGCACUCUGGGGAGACUGCCGGUGAUAAACCGGAGGAAGGCGGGGAUGACGUCAAGUCCUCAUGGCCCUUACAUCCCGGGCUACACACGUGCUACAAUGGCAGGUACAGAGGGCUGCGAAGCCGCGAGGUGGAGCGAAUCCCAGAAAACCUGUCUCAGUCCGGAUUGAAGUCUGCAACUCGACUUCAUGAAGGCGGAAUCGCUAGUAACCGCGAAUCAGCAGGUCGCGGUGAAUACGUUCCCGGGCCUU